rnacentral:rRNA from 1 species
UGGGGAAUUUUGGACAAUGGGGGCAACCCUGAUCCAGCAAUGCCGCGUGUGUGAAGAAGGCCUUCGGGUUGUAAAGCACUUUUGUCCGGGAAGAAAUCGCACCUGAUAAUACCGGGUGUGGAUGACGGUACCGGAAGAAUAAGGACCGGCUAACUACGUGCCAGCAGCCGCGGUAAUACGUAGGGUCCAAGCGUUAAUCGGAAUUACUGGGCGUAAAGCGUGCGCAGGCGGUUGUGCAAGACCGAUGUGAAAUCCCCGGGCUUAACCUGGGAAUUGCAUUGGUGACUGCACGGCUAGGGUGUGUCAGAGGGGGGUAGAAUUCCACGUGUAGCAGUGAAAUGCGUAGAGAUGUGGAGGAAUACCGAUGGCGAAGGCAGCCCCCUGGGAUAACACUGACGCUCAUGCACGAAAGCGUGGGGAGCAAACAGG